AGAGUUUGAUCCUGGCUCAGAACGAACGUUGGCGGCCUGGAUUAGGCAUGCAAGUUGAGCGUACCCAGCAAUGGGGAGCAGCGUAAGGGGCAGUAAUGCAUGGGUAUCUACCCGGGGAUCGGGCAUAGCCUGUCGAGAGACAGGGUAAUUCCCGAUGAUGUCGCAAGACCAAAGCUCCGGCGUCCCUGGAGGAGCCCAUGUGAUAUUAGCUAGUUGGUGGGGUAACGGCCCACCAAGGCGAAGAUGUCUAGCGGGUGUGAGAGCACGACCCGCGCCACUGGCACUGAGACACUGGCCAGACACCUACGGGUGGCUGCAGUCGAGGAUCUUCGGCAAUGGGCGCAAGCCUGACCGAGCGAGGCCGCGUGGGCGAUGAAGGCCUUCGGGUUGUAAAGCCCUGUCGAGGGGGAGAAAAGCCGCAAGGCGUGAUCUAUCCCUGGAGGAAGCACGGGCUAAGUUCGUGCCAGCAGCCGCGGUAAGACGAACCGUGCGAACGUUGUUCGGAAUCACUGGGCUUAAAGGGCGCGUAGGCGGGCUAUCAAGUCCGGGGUGAAAUCCUCCAG
rnacentral:rRNA from 1 species